AACGCUCGGUUGGUUGGCACAGUUUGACGCCGGCUCGGGAUUAUCAGUCGCUUUACGGACGACGUAGAUACGGUAGCGCGGACGACGGAGCGAGUGCAGCUUUGCUCGGUUCGCAUUUGAAUCCUUGAAGGGAUUCGAAAGGGAGUGAAGUAUUAUCCAAGAAAAAAUCCAAAAGAAGUGAGUGUGUUUCAUAUAAGGACACUGACACAGCAAGUCUGAAGGCAAUAUAAUACAGCCAAUUCAUCGAGAUCAAACUGGAUUACUUUGGUUAUAAUGUUGUCAACGAUCCUCCUGCGACAAGCUCUCGGCCCACUCUGGAUGCUAGCAAAGGUAAGCACACCACUGUCUGCGAUGCAUCCGUGAUCAUCUUCAUGGCGGUUCGGGGCCAACCCAUUAGCCAGCCCCCACCAGACGCGUAAGAUCUUCUACCGCAGCUGCAAACAGCUGCAAGAUGGCCAUCGGUCGACCGGUGGCUCCGCUAAAUUCGGCAAUGACCGUUUCGAUUGGCCCCAAAAAGACUGUGGAAACGUGGCACAUGCUAUGGGCCGCUAAAGUGGGACACUGGCACUCGGUAGCGAUUAAUAUUCCGAAACCGAUCGCAAAUAGACGCGCCCACGGACCCAGACGUACGCCAAACAGCAAACAGCAGCACCAUUGUGCAGCGCUGAUUGAGCAGUCAGGACGGAUGGUCGCCGCAUGUUUGGGUGUUUUCCAUGGACACCGUGAGUUCCAGUAUCGGCGGUUUUUAGUAAAGAUCGGAGACCAUCUGAACCGAAUCGAAGCUCCUUACGAUAUCACUUGACGACGGUUGACCAUGAGUGAUCCGACCGGAAGGUGGAUAGCAAUUGAUCAAACUGAAAGACGACACGGAAGAUCCAUCUGGUUGAUGCAAAUCGUGUCGCCGGCGUCUCACCCUGUCCAGGAACUGCGACGCUAUUAUCGCUUAGCGAUUCAUGAAUAAAUGAAGGCGUUCGCUGCCGGGAAUCACUCCCAC